rnacentral:rRNA from 1 species
UACGUAGGGGGCAAGCGUUAUCCGGAAUUAUUGGGCGUAAAGAGCUCGUAGGCGGUUUGUCGCGUCUGCCGUGAAAGUCCGGGGCUCAACUCCGGAUCUGCGGUGGGUACGGGCAGACUAGAGUGAUGUAGGGGAGACUGGAAUUCCUAGUGUAGCGGUGAAAUGCGCAGAUAUCAGGAGGAACACCGAUGGCGAAGGCAGGUCUCUGGGCAUUAACUGACGCUGAGGAGCGAAAGCAUGGGGAGCGAACAGG